UAGGGAAUCUUCGGCAAUGGGGGGAACCCUGACCGAGCAACGCCGCGUGAGUGAAGAAGGUUUUCGGAUCGUAAAGCUCUGUUGUUAAGGAAGAACGAGUGUGAGAAUGGAAAGUUAAUGCUGUGACGGUACUUAACCAGAAAGGGACGGCUAACUACGUGCCAGCAGCCGCGGUAAUACGUAGGUCCCGAGCGUUGUCCGGAUUUAUUGGGCGUAAAGCGAGCGCAGGCGGUCAAUUAAGUCUGAUGUGAAAGCCCCCGGCUCAACCGGGGAGGGUCAUUGGAAGCUGAUUGCCUUGAGUGCAGAAUAGGAGAGUGGAAUUCCAUUUGUGACGGUGAAAUGCGUAGAUAUAUGGAGGAACUCCAGUGGCAAAGGCGACUCUCUGGUCUGUAACUGCCGCUGAGGCUCGAAAGCGUGGGUAGCAAACAGG
rnacentral:rRNA from 1 species